UGCUGCUGGUGGCGCAAUGGUGUAGCUGUGUGAUGCUACCAAGUUAACAUGGGCCACUAUCUCUGUGAAAUGUUUCCAGCACCUUGUUGAAUCUAUGAAGGUAAAGAGGUCAUUGGGGGGUCCAAAGCAGUACUAGUAAGGUGUAUAGUACCUAAUAAACGAAGUGUGUGUGUGUGUGUAUGUUGGUGUUAGUAUUGUCCAUUGAUCUUCACACAAUGUAUAGAUUCCUAACUCCAUGAAAUCAUACUGACAAACAAGCU